GGAGAGGUGGCAGAGCCUGGUUGAAUGCGACAGACUCGAAAUCUGUUAAGGAGGCAACUUCUUCGGGGGUUCGAAUCCCCCCCUCUCCG
rnacentral:tRNA from 2 species